AUGGAAGAUUAUGAGAGAUUAGGAAACUUGGUGUUGAAGGUUAACAAAACAUUGGCAAUUGCAGGGCCUUUACUAACUGGAAUUGCAGCUGUGGGGUCCACUUUUGUUUGGCCAAGGUUCGUGGACAUCUAUAAGAAUAUAUUGGAGGAAGAUGAGAACAAAGAGAGAAUGGAGAGUUGUUUUGAAAUUAAGUUGGCUUUGAAAUUAGGAAGAAGUUUGUCACAGUUGAGAGAUCUUGGUUCAAAAUCAGCUUACUCUCGUGUAGAGGGAACUAAAGUUGAUGAAUUUGCUAGCAAGCUUUUCUAA